ACACAUGCAAGUCGAACGCGAAAGCCCGCAAGGGUAAGUAGAGUGGCGCACGGGUGAGUAACACGUGGACAACCUGCCUUCGAGUGGGGAAUAACCUUCCGAAAGGAGGGCUAAUACCGCAUAACAUCUCGGAGCACAAGUUCUGGGGUUGAAAAGAGCAAUUUGCUCGAAGAGGGGUCCGCGCCUGAUUAGCUAGUUGGUGAGGUAAUGGCUCACCAAGGCUUCGAUCAGUAGCCGUCCUGAGAGGGAGCACGGCCACACUGGAACUGAGACACGGUCCAGACUCCUACGGGAGGCAGCAGUGGGGAAUUUUUGGCAAUGGGCGAAAGCCUGACCAAGCAACGCCGCGUGGGUGAUGAAGUAUCUUGGUACGUAAAACCCUUUCGGCAGGGACGAACCUAAUGACGGUACCUGCGGAAGAAGCCCCGGCUAACUCCGUGCCAGCAGCCGCGGUAAUACGGGGGGGGCAAGCGUUGUUCGGAAUUACUGGGCGUAAAGGGCGCGUAGGCGGUUGGAUAAGUCAGCUGUGAAAACCACGGGCUUAACUCGUGGCCUGCAGUUGAGACUGUCUGGCUUGAGUGUGGGAGAGGAGAGUGGAAUUCCUGGUGUAGCGGUGAAAUGCGUAGAUAUCAC
rnacentral:rRNA from 1 species